GAGGACUCAACUGAAUGGAACCCUGAGCUUUGGAAUUGCCAGGAAAUAAUGCAAAAAUCUCAAAUGAGCACAAGCUAUAAGAGUGCAAUGUUGAAAGUGUGGGGUUUGCACUCACAGAAGUUGAGAGGUCGAUGUGAGAACAACACAAGGCCUACUGUGAGCCAUAAUCCUGGAAAAAGAUGUGGUAUUAGGAAGCAAGACUUUGCUGGCUAUGGCCUGUCUCACCACACACACCAAACCCAUUCUGUCCAUCAUCCUGUCCUGUUUUCAAAGAAUUCUUUAUUAGUUGGCUGUAUCAUGAGUUCAAGAAAAGCAC
rnacentral:lncRNA from 1 species